rnacentral:rRNA from 1 species
CCAAACUGUUGCCUCGGCGGGGUCACGCCCCGGGUGCGUCGCAGCCCCGGAACCAGGCGCCCGCCGGAGGGACCAACCAAACUCUUUCUGUAGUCCCCUCGCGGACGUUAUUUCUUACAGCUCUGAGCAAAAAUUCAAAAUGAAUCAAAACUUUCAACAACGGAUCUCUUGGUUCUGGCAUCGAUGAAGAACGCAGCGAAAUGCGAUAAGUAAUGUGAAUUGCAGAAUUCAGUGAAUCAUCGAAUCUUUGAACGCACAUUGCGCCCGCCAGUAUUCUGGCGGGCAUGCCUGUCCGAGCGUCAUUUCAACCCUCGAACCCCUCCGGGGGGUCGGCGUUGGGGAUCGGGAACCCCUAAGACGGGAUCCCGGCCCCGAAAUACAGUGGCGGUCUCGCCGCAGCCUCUCCUGCGCAGUAGUUUGCACAACUCGCACCGGGAGCGCGGCGCGUCCACGUCCCGUAAAACACCCAA